UACAGAGGUCUCAAGCGUUGUUCGGAUUCAUUGGGCGUAAAGGGUGUGUAGGUGGCGCCGUAAGUCGGGUGUGAAAUUUCGGAGCUUAACUCCGAAACUGCAUUCGAUACUGGCGGUGCUUGAGGACUGGAGAGGAGACUGGAAUUCAUGGUGUAGCAGUGAAAUGCGUAGAGAUCAUGAGGAAGACCAGUGGCGAAGGCGGGUCUCUGGACAGUUCCUGACGCUGAGGCACGAAGGCCAGGGGAGCAAACGGGG
rnacentral:rRNA from 1 species